rnacentral:rRNA from 1 species
GACGAACGCUGGCGGCGUGCUUAACACAUGCAAGUCGAGCGGAGCGGCGAACGGGUGAGUAACGCGUGAGUAACUGCCCCCCUCUCUGGGGUCACAGUUGGAAACGGCUGCUAAUACCGGAUAGUGGGGGAUGAGUCGGGUCCUAUCAGCUUGUUGGUGGGGUAGUGGCCUACGAAGGCGACGACGGGUAGCCGGCCUGGGAGGGGGACCGGCCACAUUGGGCUGGGUGACGGCCCACACGCCGACGGGAGGCAGCAGUGGGGAACAGUGCACAAGGGGGGAAACCUUGAUGCAGCAACGCGCGUGCGGGAUGUCGGCCUUCGGGUUGUGAACCGCUUUCAGCCAUGACGCGGUAGUGGCAGCAGAAGCACCGGCUAACUACGUGCCAGCAGCCGCGGUAAUAC